rnacentral:rRNA from 1 species
AACCCGCAGGGGGAGGCAAAUCCCAAAAAAUAGCGUCCCAGUUCGGAUUGUAGUCCGCAACCCGGCUACAUGAAGCUGGAAUCGCUAGUAAUCGCAGAUCAGAAUGCUGCGGUGAAUACGUUCCCGGGUCUUGUACACACCGCCCGUCACACCAUGGGAGUCGGAAAUGCCCGAAGUCGGUGACCCAACCGUUUACGGAGGGAGCUGCCGAAGGCAGGUCUGGUGACUGGGGUGAAGUCGUAACAAGGUAAC